UGAAUAGACAAAUGUGUGUUUAAUCACCAUGAAGACUUAAAUUCUCUACCCAAGCUUAUAUCUGCCAUCUUCCUAUAAACUCCACCUAAUUCAUACGUUACCACUAUCACAUGUUGUAUUACCUUUGACAUAUCCUCCAAUUCUAAAUAUCAUUUAGCAGUACACUAAACCAGGUGCAGUCUUCUUUGGUGUAAGUAUCAUUCAUCACUAACCAUGCUGCAUAAUUCCCUACUUACAAAGAUUCAACAGAGGUUUGUUAUUUGUCUAAGAAGGUAACUGAGAAGCUGAAAAUAAGAGCUAGACUUGGUGACCUGUGAAAUUUGAACAGUUACUUUUUCUGUGCACUUCCAUCCUCCUCUCCUUGUUGUCUCUAUUCUAUAGCUCCAGUUCUUAUACUCUGCCUCCCAGAUAGACAAUGCUAAUGAGGAGUCUAGUCUUUCUCCUCAUCUGAACCCUCCAGCAGGGCCCUGUGCUCCAAAUAGGUCUCGUUGUCUUGUUUUCAACAUGGCCUCCCGAGAAGCAGCAAGCUGUGAUGGAGAAUCGGCUUUAGUAGUGGGCAGACUACCUGCUGGACAAGUAACUUACCAUCUGGCGGCUCUGUUUCCUCAUCUGGAAAAUCUAUGAAAAGCCAGUACAGAUAUUUAUGUUAACUUGCUGCCUGUUGUCACCAAAGAUACGAACCAAAGUGGCUCUCCCAAUCAAACUCUGACAUUGAACUUAACGAAGCAAUCAAUCAGACAACCAAGAAGUAUCUGCUGAGCGUGCACUUAAUGCACAGCAUUGUCUCAGGUACUCUAAACUUCUGGGCACAUAACAAUUCUGAUUCUUAAAGAAAUUACAAUUUAUUUUAGAAAAGAAGAUAUAUAGAUAGAAAAACAGUGAAAUGUUGACGAACAUAAAGUUAAGUGAAAGCAGAGAUCAUGUCUAAUAGAUUUUUAAGGUCUCCCAAAAGACUAGUCCACCAUUUAAUACAUGUGAAAAGCUAAAUAAAUUACUUAUAAAUGAAGUCUUUGAUAAGUGC
rnacentral:lncRNA from 1 species